UCUCGAUUACCACUUUAUCAUGCGAGAGUAUAAAAUGUUCGGUGACACCCGAACUUAGCCCUUCCUUACUUGUUUGCAAUAAGUUUAUACUCCGGAGCUGAGAAGGUAAAUUUAGUUCGUUUUAAGGAUCUUUUUCACAAAACAGACAUGCUCUUUUAUAGAGCAGUGAUGUGACUUCAUCGGUUUGAGCAAUUAUGCCGUUUUAUAUGCUUUGACGAUUCCCGGACCCGCGCUGAGAGACUACGAUACGACAAAUUGGCGCCUAUUCGUCAUGCAUGGACAUUAUUCUUGGCGAAUUUGACGAUACCAUUUGUCUCAGGUAAAGAAUUGACAGUUGAUGAGCAAUUACUUUCAACGAGAAAGAGAUACAAUUUCCGCCAAUACCUUCCCUCUAAGUCUUAAAAAGUAUGACAUAAAAAUAUUUUGGCUUGUUGACGCAAAACCCAACUAUCCACUUGCAGGCGAAGUAUAUUUGGGUGCACAGCCUAAUGAACAGCGGUCGCUUGGUAUUGCGCGCAAUUUUGUUAUGCGACUCAGCAACCAAUAUUUGGACAGCGGUGUGAACAUCACGAUGGACAACUUUUCGACAAGUUAUGAAUUGGCGGAAGAUUUGCUUGUGCGGAAUACCAGGUUGGUGGUAUUUACAUCCUCUGAAGAAGCAAAUAAAAGGGAUGUAUUUGCAUCUGUGUUUUGUUUUUCAAAAUCAAUGCAAUUAGUAAGCUUUACAGUACAUUCGAAAAUGUACUAAUGCUUUGAACUGCUCAUACCAGCGAAGAUGUAAAUCCUGUAACAAAAAAGCCACAGGUCAUACAUGAUUAUAAUGAGCAUAAAGGUGGUGUUGAUACUUUUUACAAAAUGCUACGUGGAUUCUUUGGCAAAAGAAAAACAAACCGUUGGCGCAUGGCAUUUUUUUAUAAUAUGCUGGAUAUUAUUGGGCUUGCAGCGUUCAUACUGUUUGACCUUAGUCACCCUAUAUGGAACACCAAUAAGUCUGAAAAGCGUAAAAUAUUUUUGAAAGAGCUCUUCAUGGAGCUAGCGUAGAAGCAAUUACAAAACCGAUGCAAAAGAAAAAUUAAUUCUACAACUAAAAUUGCAAUAGACUUGAUCAAUUUCAAACGGUUUCCUGAAUGGCGAGCUCGCGUUCAGCAAUAUGUCAACACUUUGAAACGGCGGUGUGAAACCUG